rnacentral:tRNA from 1 species
GCUUUCGUGGUGUAACGGUAGCACACUCGGCGCGUAUUCGAGAAGUCCAGGUUCGAGUCCUGACUAGGGCA